AGGGGACAGGUAUCUGGACAGA
rnacentral:miRNA from 1 species